AAAAUCACAUGCCACUGCACUCCAGCCUGGGUGACAGAGCAAGACACCAUCUCUAAAUAAAUAAAUAAAAAUAAGGAGCCAACUACAGAUGUGCACACAUGGAUGAGCCUCACAGGUUCAUCAAACGUACCCAUUAGAAAGAGAAGAGGAUGCUGUUUCCAAACGGCAGCCUGGGCCUUGUGUCAUGGAUGCUGGCACCCAGGUUCGAAUUGCAGAAGGAGGGACUGCUGGUUGUAUACAGUUCACCUUGGUGCAAGACGGUGAUCCGGGGAAAUCAUUAGGUGCCAGGCUGGCACGUUCUAGAAGAUGCAUUAACUUGGAGUUUUCUGGAGGAGCAAACGCAGAGGAUUCUGAGGAGAGGACUUGUCAGAAUCCAUUCUGUCUCCAGACAACCAGUGUCUUUCUCAAGAGAGAAGCAAACUGCGGGUCAAAGUGCACCACCAGCCACCAACAGCUAGCUUCCGGAUCAAGUAGGAUGGAAAUGGUUUAUUCCUCCAAAGACUCUUAAAAGAGCAGCCCCUGCUGCAGAAUAGAAAGAGGCUCCAGAGGAGCAGUGAGCUCGAGGAACCCCCCUGAAGAUCCCCAGUUUCUGUAUGCAGCUGCAUCAGGCCCAGACAAAUUCUUCCAUCUGGAGCGUGUCCCCGCAGAUCUUCCCAGCCGCGGCUGUGGUCCGCGUUAUCUCAGGCUGUCAGGUCUCAGAAAUUAGAAACCAUCUCAUUUCAUCAGGGUCAUCCCACACCGUCUGCCACCAUAGAUGGAGAGGAUUUCAAGUGAUGUUUUCUGAAGAUGGUUCUGUUGUCCCGGGAGAGCCCUUGGCGGACAUGGUAGUGCCAGUCAGAGCCCUUGACGCUGUGCAGCCAGGUGGCUUAUUGUCCCAGUGACUUUCCAACCAGAUACUCUCAGUCAGAGUGAAGGGCUCCACUUAGAAACUCCCUUUCCCAUUAACUCGUCAGAGUUAUGCCAUUCCUCUUUAUUCUUUUUAAAAUAUUUAUACUCAAAGAAAUUGUAUGGGGAGUGAGCACACACCAAUCAUAUAACUGUCAAAUGAAAGCCUUUCCUUAAAUGUUCAAGGGCGCCGGAGGAAUAAAUUUGGAGUCAUGCAGAUCUUGUUUCACGAGUGUGUACAUGUGUAUGAAACUUUAUGUGGGUGGAAAACCAACAAGAGAAAAAAGAGAGCAGAAACUGUUGUGUGAUUGCGUUUUCCUGCCCGAGACAUCCUGUGCUCUGCAUCUGAUAACCUGCCACCAACAGGGCUCCACCACAUUGCCCAGGCUGGUCUCAAAGUCCUAGGCUCAUGCGAUCCUCCCACCUCAACCUCCCAAAGUGCUGGAACUACAGGUGUCAGCCACAGCCCCCUGUGAGGAUGCUUAAUCACUCGAGGACGGUAUAAAGGUACAGAAGAACAGCGAGCCACAGGUGGGCCUCAUCCCAUCAGCUGAAGGCCUUACAGGAACAAAGAUUGACCUCCCAGUAUAAGAAGUAAUCUGCCAGCAGGCUGCCUUUGGACUCCAACUGCAACUCUUCCCUGGGUUUCCAGCCUGCCAGCCUACCCUGCAGACUUUGGACUUGCACCUCCACAACCAUACGUUUCCAAAAUCUGGAGAGCGGCUGUGAGUUUGCAGUGCAGUAUGGGGAGAGACCAGAACCCACCGGAAGCCUCCAGGUGCUGCAGUGAGGAGGAGCUGGAACCCUUCUCCUCCAGGUGCCAGCUCGCGCUGCUGUGGUUCUCAUCUGUAGAGGACGUGGACCAUCCAGGGAAUCACCUGCAGCUGACAGAGGAAACUCUGAAGCCCACCAGGCCUGUACAGACUGGGGAAACACCAGUGCCUGAGGAUAGUGGCUAAACUGCCAGAGAACAUGGGGCUGAGGUGGAGCCUGGAUGACUCUUCUGCCUCUGAGCAAAGCUGCUUGCCCUACACACAACAGUAUUGUCUUAACAUCUGCUGAGUUCCCAGGUCCUCUUAGCAGCAGGCAGAGGCAUUCAGAGCCCAGACCCCAAAGACAUGCUGAUCUGGUUUAAACCUGACUGUGCUACUCAUCAACUGGGGGACCUAGGCAGGUUACAUUGUCUUUUUGUGCCUCAGUUUCCUCAUCUAUAGAAUAGAGGUAUUCUAGUUUCCUGUGAUUUCUGUAAUAAAUUUACAAACUUUGUAACAAAUUACCACAAAUUUGGUGGCUUCAAACGAUAGAAAUUUAUUCUCUCACAAACCUGGAGACCAAAAGUCUAAAGUCUCUAUCAUUGGACUGAAAUAAAAGUGCAGGUGGGGCCAGACACAGUGGCUCACACUUGUAAUCCCAGCACUUCGGGAGGCCAAGGCGGGCGGAUCAUGAGGUUAGGAGUUUGAGACAAGCCUGGCCAAUAUGGUGAAACCCCGUCUCUACUAAAAAUACAAAAUUAGCCAGGCGUGGUGGUGCAUGCCUGUAAUCCCAGCUACUUGGGAGGCUGAGGCAGGUGUAUCUCUUGAAACCAGGAGGCGGAGGUUGCGGUGAGCCAAAAUCAUGCCAUUGCAC
rnacentral:lncRNA from 1 species